rnacentral:rRNA from 1 species
GACGAACCGUCCUAACGUUGUUCGGAAUCACUGGGCUUAAAGGGCGCGUAGGCGGCCCUGAAAGUCGGGGGUGAAAGCCCACGGCCCAACCGUGGAAGUGCCUCCGAUACUGCAGGGCUCGAGGGAGGUAGGGGCAGCGGGAACUUCCGGUGGAGCGGUGAAAUGCGUUGAUAUCGGAAGGAACGCCGGCGGCGAAAGCGCGCUGCUGGACCUCUGCUGACGCUGAGGCGCGAAAGCCCAGGGGAGGCAAACGGGG